UUUACACCUCUGGGAAUUAUUCAAAUAUUUAAGAAGUGUUUCACUUCAACCAUUGAGAUAACAAAAUUCUUGUGACAUUCUCGUGACACUAUACCUGACUCAUUCCCUUUACCUCGCAUGGACGACUGUAUAGACACCAUUGGAUCGGCUGCUUAUGUUACUAAGCUUGAAUUGUUAAAAGGUUAUUGGCAGGUGCCUUUAACCCCUCGUGCCUCUGAGGUGUCUGCUUUUGUAACCCCUGACAGUUUCUGCCAGUACACAGUAAUGGCUUUUGGAAUGAGGAACGCCCCGGCCACGUUUCAACGUUUGACUGGUUGUUCUGUUUGUGGGUUCUGGUCAUUACAGGUGUGCUGAGUUGCGGCUGACGAUGGUGGGCGUGGCUUCGGUCCGGAGUCCUGGCAGCUGUGGCUGAUUGACUAGAGUAUAAACUGUUUCCCGUGUGAGCUCGAGAGGAAGAGGGGGUACUUUUUGUUUGGCUGAGGAUUUGGUUAUUGGUUGGUUUAAUUUAUAUUUGUUUGUGUUCCAGCCUGUCCUCCUGCUUUAUUCCACCCUACCUGGGUCCUGGAGAAGGGAAAGGUAGUUCUGCCCAUGGGUGUACAUUCACACGUAGAUAACCCACUGUUUUACACGCCAUGUUAGCUGGGCGGGUGUCACCCCUGUAUUUGUGGUAGCAGGUAGGAAAGCUGGUUAAGGAUUAAAGUGUGAUAGGAAGGAUUAGGUGUGUAGAAGAGAAGGGACCUUUUGUUUAUUUUCAUUACUUGGACCCGAUCCCAAACAUUCCCUUCUCUUACCUUCCCUGGUUUGUUUGAUUGGUUUUUAUUUUAUUUACUGUUUCUUUAUGGGUGUUGUAUAAUUCUGUUUAAUUACUUUACUAAACGUCCCAGAGGGCUAACAUUGA